GGAUUUUGGCCUGCUUUUCUAUGUAGGUGAAUUGAAAAGCCUAAAAAUACAAAUGGACUAGGGAAAUAUAGAAGAUCAAUUAAGUUUUCAGUAUUCAAUUCUUGGCAAUUCAAGAAUUGUUUCCACUAAUAUAGUACAGUGAAAACUGAAAAGGUGAAAAAUGCAAAGAUAGAUCAGGGACUGAGAGGAAAGCUACAUUCUAAUUCUCUAUAUAUGUGCAUAGAUGGUAAUUCUAAAACUGUUUGAGUGUCCUUUCCUUUCAUAGUAGAUCUCAAUCCCUGAUAGAGGGGAUUGGUUGCCAUACUGAUGGUCCGUGUGAAACCAUAGCUACAUGCUAUUGUUUUAAGUUUAUUAGCUAUCAAAACAAGAAAAUUAGCUGAAUGGAUUUGGUCAGCUAUGGCUGUAUCCAUUACAGAAAUGGAAUAAAGGGUGUAGGUUGAGAUUUGGGGUACUGUUAGUAAAAGGGUAAGGUUAAGAAUGUUGUGCUUGUGAGGGAAACUUCAUGGCCUUUGUCUAAUAAAAUAUGGUCAUUGGUAGAGUGGACUUUUGUUAAAAGAUAUUGAAUUAUCAAUACAACAAAUUGCUGUCAAACUUACGUAUAUGCACUGAUGAGAUUUUCUUUGAAAAUUUUUUUGAUGGUGCAUAAUUAUUAAACAUUAGUCCUUUUUCACGUUACGUUAUUUUUCCUUUCCUUGAUUUUUUUUUCUCUAUCUUCUUGAUUGUAUAUCAUUGAAAAGGUAGCUUCUUGCCUUUUAUUGGCCACUUCUAAGCUUGUGGAUUUGUUUAUGACAACGCUAGAAUAGGGCUUUGCUAAACAAGAAUGAACUAAUUAUUUUGUUGAAUAGAAAAUAAUUGUGGAAAGUAAAGCAAAAGGUUAAUAAAUUUUUCGGUCAAUCUCAUUAAGCAUGGGUAUACAGUCCUUAGUUAACCAAAUUAGUCAUUUUGCAUCUUAGUUUAAAAUUAGUUCCCCUUCUCCCCCUUCUUCAUCUUUGUUCCACUUCUUUUUUUGGACCAAAAAUAUAAGGUCUGAUUAUUACUGGCGGCUACAAUACCCGCCAAACUUAUCUU
rnacentral:misc_RNA from 1 species